AGAGAGGUGGCCGAGUGGUCGAAGGCGCACGCCUGGAAAGUGUGUAUACCCCAAAAGGGUAUCGAGGGUUCGAAUCCCUUCCUCUCUGCAA
rnacentral:tRNA from 17 species